rnacentral:rRNA from 1 species
GACGAGCGCUGGAGGCGUGCUUAACACAUGCAAGUCGAACGAUGAAAUGGAGCUUGCUCCAUGGAUUAGUGGCGAACGGGUGAGUAACACGUGAAUAACCUGCCCUUAAUUUUGGAAUAACCCAGGGAAACCUGGGCUAAUACCGGAUAAGUAAACCUGUGGCAUCACAUGGUUUUGGAAAGUUUUUCGAUUAAGGAUGGAUUCGCGGCCUAUCAGCUUGUUGGUGAGGUAAUGGCUAACCAAGGCGACGACGGGUAGCCGGCCUGAGAGGGUGAACGGCCACGCUGGGACUGAGACACGGCCCAGACUCCUACGGGAGGCAGCAGUGGGGAAUAUUGCGCAAUGGACGAAAGUCUGACGCAGCGACGCCUCGUGAGGGACGAAGGUCUUCGGAUUGUAAACCUCUUUCAGCAGGGACGAAGCGAAAGUGACGGUACCUGCAGAAGAAGCACCGGCUAACUAUGUGCCAGCCGCCGCGGUAA